rnacentral:rRNA from 1 species
CCUACGGGUGGCAGCAGUGGGGAAUUUUGGACAAUGGGCGAAAGCCUGAUCCAGCCAUUCCGCGUGAGUGAAGAAGGCCUUCGGGUUGUAAAGCUCUUUCGGCGGGGAAGAAAUCGGUGAGGCUAAUACCUUUACUGGAUGACGGUACCUGAAGAAGAAGCACCGGCUAACUACGUGCCAGCAGCCGCGGUAAUACGUAGGGUGCGAGCGUUAAUCGGAAUUACUGGGCGUAAAGCGUGCGCAGGCGGUUUUGUAAGACAGCUGUGAAAUCCCCGGGCUCAACCUGGGAACUGCGGUUGUGACUGCAAGGCUAGAGUACGGCAGAGGGGGGUGGAAUUCCACGUGUAGCAGUGAAAUGCGUAGAUAUGUGGAGGAACACCAAUGGCGAAGGCAGCCCCCUGGGUCGAUACUGACGCUCAUGCACGAAAGCGUGGGGAGCAAACAGGAUUAGAUACCCUAGUAGUCC